rnacentral:rRNA from 1 species
UACAGAGGUCCCGAGCGUUGUUCGGAUUCAUUGGGCGUAAAGGGUGCGUAGGCGGCGGGGUAAGUCUGAUGUGAAAUCCCGGGGCUCAACCCCGGAACUGCAUUGGAUACUGCCUUGCUUGAGUACUGGAGAGGAGACUGGAAUUUACGGUGUAGCAGUGAAAUGCGUAGAUAUCGUAAGGAAGACCAGUGGCGAAGGCGGGUCUCUGGACAGUUCCUGACGCUGAGGCACGAAGGUCAGGGGAGCAAACGGG